UUACGGCCACAUCAUAUUGAAACACCUGUUCCCUUACGAUCACCGAAGUUAAGCGACGUGGAAUCUGGUCAGUAUCUAGAUGACUGACCGUUUGAGAAUAUCAUGUGCGGUAAG